UACGGAGGGUGCAAACGUUGCUCGGAAUCAUUGGGCGUAAAGCGCACGUAGGCGGCCUGACAAGUCGGGUGUGAAAGCCCUGGGCUCAACCCAGGAAGUGCACUCGAAACUGCCAGGCUUGAAUAUGGAAGAGGGUCGCGGAAUCCCGGUGUAGAGGUGAAAUUCGUAGAUAUCGGGAGAACACCAGUGGGCGAAGGCACGCCGAGCCU
rnacentral:rRNA from 1 species